rnacentral:tRNA from 1 species
GAACGUAAAAUAGAUUUUCCUAUACUUGGUUACGGUCCAAGGAGAUUGUCGUUUUUUUAU